rnacentral:rRNA from 1 species
GGAAUAUUGGGCAAUGGACGGAAGUCUGACCCAGCCAUGCCGCGUGCAGGAUGAAGGACUUCUGGGUUGUAAACUGCUUUUAUCUGGGAAGCAAACACCCCUGCGGGGGAAACUGACGGUACCAGAUGAAUAAGCACCGGCUAACUCCGUGCCAGCAGCCGCGGUAAUACGGAGGGUGCAAGCGUUGUCCGGAUUUAUUGGGUUUAAAGGGUGCGUAGGCGGCCCGUUAAGUCCGUGGUGAAAGCCUCCAGCUCAACUGGAGAACUGCCAUGGAUACUGGCGGGCUUGAGUACAGACGAGGUUGGCGGAAUUGAUUGUGUAGCGGUGAAAUGCAUAGAUACAAUCAAGAACUCCGAUUGCGUAGGCAGCUAACUAGGCUGUAACUGACGCUGAGGCACGAAAGUGUGGGGAGCGAAC